GAGCCACACGGGCGCGUCAUCAGGGCCGCUGAGGAAGAUGCCGGCGUCGAUGAGCACCAUGGUCUUGCCGUCACCUGGGUGCCGUUCGGGUUUGCGACCUUGGGCCCGCGCGUCGGUGACGGCAGUCGGCGUGUGCGCCCCGGUGGUCGGAUCACGGAGGAGCGACUGGAAGAGGGCCCGCGCUUCGGGUGAGCUGCGUGCAAGCGAGGUGUCCAGAGCUUCUUGGUUGAUCGGGCGUGGGUGGAUGCGGUCGCCGCCGGCCUCCCACUUGGAGACCAUCCGGGGGUCACGCCGAGGUGCCUGGCGAAGUCCCGGACGCUCAUCCGCCGGGCCUGGCGCAGGGCGCGCACCUCGCGUCCCGACCAUCGCGGAACCAUCGGCGACGUCAUGUCGGGGGUCGCCUGUCCGGUCGGCGCGAACUGGUCGGGGCUCAUGGUCUGUCUCGUCAGAGGGGCUCGGGCGGGAUGCUCU
rnacentral:misc_RNA from 1 species